UUUUGCAACAGUUUCUCUAUUAUUGUACUUAUAUUUUUAUAGAUUUACUGACAUAGAUCUCCUUAGGAAACAGAUAUCUGGAGAUACUGUUUGUAAUGGUCACAUGAUAUAUCACUGUAAGGAAGCAUCUAACCCAUAUUCCCUUAUUUGACUGAGAAAACAACUGAGAUUCAAAGAAUAGAAGAGAGUGACCACAAAUCACACAGCAGCCUAGACCUGGUCUAGGCAGCCCAGCAUGCCUGCUGCCGGGACUUCUCUACCUGGAAUAGAUUAAAGCCAUCAGGAAGGGUCUUUCAGGAGACAUGCGUCUGAUGGAAGCCUUCCUAGCCAACUCCCGACCCACUUUGUGACCACAGCAUCCGGACAUGAUCACUCUUCACUUAUGACUUUCGUGUGAACCUCUCGGCUCUUCACCCGCAACUUGUUGACCUGGGACUCGGCAAUGUCAGCCCGCUCCUCAGCCUCCUCCAGCUCAUGCUGGAGCUUGCGGAAUUUAGAUAGAUUUGUGUUGGAUUGUUCCUCCUGAGAAUAAAAAUGGAAUUGUAAGGAACCCGUACUACACAUCUUUCUAGACUCUGCAGUCUUAAGUGCAGAAAGGACUUGGCAUCUACAAAGAACUUAAAAUACUCAGCAGGGAAUAUUGUUGUCUUGCCACCUCCUGGAUUUUGGUUGUCAUUAAAGUGAACAUUAUGAUUUGUUGGGGCUCGGUGUCCCAUAAAUAAUUGCAUCCUUAUUUUUGCAAUGAAAACAUAUUAAAAGCUAUGCACCACAAGCAAGAAAAAAUAAAAGAGCAGAGAAGACAAGAGUACUGAAAUCAUUCUUCUCGUUAAUGCUAGCUAUAAGAUGACUGUAAGCUCAAGUUCUAUGUCAUGUUAAGGAUAACUUUCUUAACAGUCUCUUUAUAUUGAAAUAAAUGUUGAAUUCUAUAAUACCAUGUUA